CGAGGCAUGAGUCAGUGGUUGACUGCUCGGCUGUAGAGAUACCGAGUUUAGGUGAGUUCAAUUCUCACUGUCUCGA
rnacentral:tRNA from 1 species